CUUCUUUGUCCUUUUCUGGAAAUCACGAAUGUGAAUGUCAUUUGCAGCAUGCAUUCGUGCAGUGGAUGGAAGUUCUCCAGGGACCAGGCUUUCUUCAAGGCAAUGGGGAGCCACGGAAAUCUUUGAAGCAGAGGAGUGUCCUAUUCAGAACUCUUCUAUUAAAUGAUUAUUGUGCAGCAGGGUGGAAGCUGGAUUAACAGGAGAAACACUGGAGACAAGGAAAUUCAAUUUAAAGUCUACUGCAAGAGCGCCUUGACACCAACAUGACCCUGACCGACAUUUUCCUUUUUCGUCAUGGCUGUACUUUUCCAUUUAAAUAAGAUGCAAGCCCAUUUCCAUGGGGAUUCCAGG
rnacentral:lncRNA from 1 species